GUCUUUUUGUUUAAUAAUUUAAAGUUUAAUUUGCCCCCUGAUUAAUAAUUAAAGGGCUGCAGUAUAUUGACUGUACAAAGGUAGCAUAAUCAUUAGUCUUUUAAUUGAAGACUUGUAUGAAAGAUUUGAUGAAAUAUAAACUGUCUCUAAGUUAAUUAUAGAAAUUAAUUUUUUAAUUAAAAAGUUAAAAUAAUUUAAAAAGACGAGAAGACCCUAUAGAGUUUUAUAUUAAUAAAAAAUUUAAAUUAAAUAUAAAAAUAAUAAAUUUAAAAUUUUAUUAAUAUUUUAUUGGGGUGAUAAAAAAAUUUAAUUAACUUUUUUUAAAAUAAAAUCAUAAAUAAAUGAGUGAGUGAUCCAUAAAUAAUGAUUAAAAGAAAAAAUUACCUUAGGGAUAACAGCGUAAUUUUUUUUUUUAGUACAAAUAAAAAAAAAAGGUUGCGACCUCGAUGUUGGAUUAAGAUAAAAUUUAAAUGCAAAAGUUUAAAAUUUUGAUCUGUUCGAUCAUUAAAAUCUUACAU
rnacentral:rRNA from 1 species